GCAUUGACGGUUCAAGCCUCCUCAAGAGCACGGAAACCCAGCCAGCAUGACUCAAGGCCUGCCACGCAUCCCCAGCGUAGGACUCAUGGGCACACAAUAAUCAGUUUGGCCAUCCAGAAUGGAAAGAAGAAGAAAAGAAAAGGCUUGACACUCAGUGGCAGACAUGUAAAAAUUACUGCGUGCCCCCCAGAGACAAAGGACAAGGUGCUACUUAAACACCGAAGCUCAAGUUCAUGGCAAGAAAGUCAAUGGACCAGAAGCCCGGUACUUCAUUGCAGGGCCACAGGAGACCUCUGGGACUCUCAUUCAGAAGUAAUCUGCCCCCCCCUGAGACUUCAUAAAUGUUAAUGAUUAUUUCACCUCAAUUCUCUAUCCAAAAAAACUCCUAAAAUCUGACUCCUCUUCCCCAUCGCCAGAUGACCUCAAAUCCAUUGCACUUCUAGCCUCCGUGGCAGGAAACAUAAAGGGAUGUUUUAAG
rnacentral:lncRNA from 1 species